GGGACGGACACCACCCCACGCUCACGGGUCCUCUGGUGGUGUCCUUUGAGCUGCCGGGACGGCGCAAGAAACCUGUUUAUGCACCCUCCUGCAAUCCCACCACCUGCCCAGGCCAAGUGAGCCCCUCUCCGCUACUGGUGUUUCAUAAUGCUGGGAGCUACUUUGAUUUCAUGCAUUGCCCUUCAGCUGCCAUGUUAUGAGGACACUUGGACAGCCUAUGGAGAAAGCUACAGGAGAGGAACUGAGGUCUCCUGCUAUCAGCCACUUGAGUGAGCAUGGGAGUGGAUUCUCCAAACUCCAGUUAAGACUUGAGCUGUCCACAGUGGCAGCCACCAGCGUGACUGCAACUUACGAGAGGCACUGAGCCAGAGGCACUCAGCUAAGUCGUACACAGUUUCCUGACCCGUAAAACCUGUGACACAAUGAAGGUUUGUUGUUUUUGGGGUAAUCCGUUAUUCAGCAAUAGAUAACAAAUACAGAAGGCUUGUAAUUGUAUAACCAACGUGAGUUUAUAAGCGGAUAUCUGACCUCAUUUGUUUUCUCCUGAAAAAGUUAUAGAAAAAUCACAAGACUGCAAGUCACUCUCUCUCUUUCUCUCUUUUGUGGGGGAAUAAACAAGUAUAAUUACAAUUUCUAAACCUAUUGUUUUAUUCUCAAAUAUAAUUACAAUUUAAACAGGAUAUUGUAGAGCUCCAUCAUAGGGAUUAACACUAAUUAGAAUUAAAGAACAUUUUUGUGAA
rnacentral:lncRNA from 1 species